rnacentral:misc_RNA from 1 species
GAUGAAGAAUGCAGCGAAAUGCGAUACGUAAUGUGAAUUGCAGAAUUCAGUGAAUCAUCGAGUCUUUGAACGCACAUUGCGCCCCCUGGUAUUCCGGGGGGCAUGCCUGUCCGAGCGUCAUUGCUGCCCUCAAGCACGGCUUGUGUGUUGGGCCUCCGUCCUCCUCCCGGGGGACGGGCCCGAAAGGCAGCGGCGGCACCGCGUCCGGUCCUCGAGCGUAUGGGGCUUCGUCACCCGCUCUUGUAGGCCCGGCCGGCGCUUGCCGACACAUCAAUCUUUUUUCCAGGUUGACCUCGGAUCAGGUAGGGAUACCCGCUGAACUUAAGCAUUCCAAUAAGCGGAGGA